UACAGAGGUGGCAAGCGUUGUUCGGAAUUACUGGGCGUAAAGGGCGCGUAGGCGGCCAUCUAAGUCAGACGUGAAAUCCCUCGGCUUAACCGGGGAACUGCGUCUGAUACUGGAUGGCUUGAGUUUGGGAGAGGGACGCGGAAUUCCAGGUGUAGCGGUGAAAUGCGUAGAUAUCUGGAGGAACACCGGUGGCGAAGGCGGCGUCCUGGACCAACACUGACACUGAGGAGCGAAAGCCAGGGGAGCAAACGGG
rnacentral:rRNA from 1 species